GUCGCCAUAUUUGUUUCCCGAAGGAAGAAAACAAAGCGAGGAAAGUUUGCGGUAGGGAGCUCGACCGUGGCUACCAAGACGGCUGACGGCGCAGUACCCGAGGCGUUUGGCGGGCCCGAUAGUAAACGAACAUAACGGGAUGAUCUGUGGACUGCCCACGAGUACGCACUCAGCAUUGAUGGCAGGCUCAUGGUUCAGAAGAUACCAGACGUCCCUACGGCAUGGGCUGCACUCUUCGCGACUCACUAUUGCUUUAACAUCUGCUACGCUGAAGGCGUGUCAUCGACCCUUGAGUUCCUUCAGAGAGGUUUCCUGAGCAUGAACCCUGACCGUGGCACCAGAGCCAAGCGCUCCAAGUCAGAAGUGAACAAGAAAGUACUUAACCUGGUCAAGAAAAUAGCAGAGCUGGAGUGGAAUGUGUGAGGCUGUCGGUCAUCCUGUGUGGGAACGAGGCAUGCAACAUGGGGCUCGGGCUCAUUCAACACAAGGUCUUGGCACCUGGAAGAUUUCAGCAGCCAUAAGCAAUGGCACUUGGGUCUAAAUUUGAUCAGAGUGUAUAUGGACCUGGGUCCUCAUCAUCCAAGUAAAUAAAUGUUCUGUUUUUAUUUCUAUCCUACACAUAAUUUAUGCUGUGUUCUGGCUUAAUUGCAUUUGCAUGUACAUACACAACGAUCGCAUUGCAGACAUGAAGACCACACUACAAUUACAAUAAACAGCAUGCCACAUAUAUUACAGGCACAAAAUGGCUAACCUAAGGAGACUUCAUGACCCAUUGUUUGAUUCAUUGUCUGUUGACCAGUAGUAGGAAGUAAAUCGA